CCUACGGGUGGCAGCAGUGAGGAAUAUUGGUCAAUGGACGCGAGUCUGAACCAGCCAAGUAGCGUGAAGGAUGACUGCCCUAUGGGUUGUAAACUUCUUUUAUAUGGGAAUAAAAUGUUCCACGUGUGGGAUUUUGUAUGUACCAUAUGAAUAAGGAUCGGCUAACUCCGUUCCAGCAGCCGCGGUAAUACGGAGGAUCCGAGCGUUAUCCGGAUUUAUUGGGUUUAAAGGGAGCGUAGGUGGAUUGUUAAGUCAGUUGUGAAAGUUUGCGGCUCAACCGUAAAAUUGCAGUUGAAACUGGCAGUCUUGAGUACAGUAGAGGUGGGCGGAAUUCGUGGUGUAGCGGUGAAAUGCUUAGAUAUCACGAAGAACUCCGAUUGCGAAGGCAGUUCACUGGACUGCAACUGACACUGAGGCUCGAAAGUGUGGGUAUCAAACAGGAUUAGAUACCCCUGUAGUC
rnacentral:rRNA from 1 species